AGGGAUUUAGCUCAGUGGUAGAGCGUUUGCCUAGCAAGCGCAAGGCCCUGGGUUCAGUCCCCAGCUCUG
rnacentral:tRNA from 1 species